rnacentral:rRNA from 1 species
UACAGAGGGUGCGAGCGUUAAUCGGAAUUACUGGGCGUAAAGCGCGCGUAGGCGGCUUUUCAAGUCGAUUGUGAAAUCCCUCGGCUUAACCGGGGAACUGCGUCUGAUACUGGAUGGCUUGAGUUCGGGAGAGGGAUGCGGAAUUCCAGGUGUAGCGGUGAAAUACGUAGAUAUCUGGAGGAACACCGGUGGCGAAGGCGGCAUCCUGGACCGACACUGACGCUGAGGAGCGAAAGCCAGGGGAGCAAACGGG